rnacentral:rRNA from 1 species
GCCAGACUCCUACGGGAGGCAGCAGUGGGGAAUAUUGCACAAUGGGGGAAACCCUGAUGCAGCAACGCCGCGUGAGUGAAGAAGUAUUUCGGUAUGUAAAGCUCUAUCAGCAGGGAAGAGGAAAGACGGUACCUGACUAAGAAGCCCCGGCUAACUACGUGCCAGCAGCCGCGGUAAUACGUAGGGGGCAAGCGUUAUCCGGAUUUACUGGGUGUAAAGGGAGCGUAGACGGCAUAGCAAGUCUGAUGUGAAAACCCGGGGCUCAACUCCGGGAGUGCAUUGGAAACUGUUGAUCUAGAGUGUCGGAGAGGCAAGCGGAAUUCCUAGUGUAGCGGUGAAAUGCGUAGAUAUUAGGAGGAACACCAGUGGCGAAGGCGGCGUACUGGACGAUGACUGACGCUGAGGCUCGAAAGCGUGGGGAGCAAACAGGAUUAGAUACCCCGGUACAG